rnacentral:rRNA from 1 species
CUACGGGAGGCACCAGUGGGGAAUAUUGCACAAUGGGGGAAACCCUGAUGCAGCAACGCCGCGUGGAGGAUGACGCAUUUCGGUGUGUAAACUCCUUUUAUAUAGGAAGAUAAUGACGGUACUAUAUGAAUAAGCACCGGCUAACUCCGUGCCAGCAGCCGCGGUAAUACGGAGGGUGCAAGCGUUACUCGGAAUCACUGGGCGUAAAGCGCGCGCAGGCGGCCUUUUAAGUUGGAUGUGAAAGCCUAUGGCUUAACCAUAGAACUGCAUCCAAAACUAUCAGGCUAGAGUCUGGGUGGGGAAGAUGGAAUUAGUUGUGUAGGGGUAAAAUCCGUAGAGAUAACUAGGAAUACCAAAAGCGAAGGCGAUCUUCUGGAACAGUACUGACGCUGAGGCGCGAAAGCGUGGGGAGCAAACAGGAUUAGAUACCCGCGUAGUC